UACGUAGGGGGCGAGCGUUGUCCGGAUUUAUUGGGCGUAAAGGGUGCGUAGGCGGCUUUCUAAGUUGGAUGUGAAAACUCUGGGCUCAACCCAGAGCCUGCAUCCAAAACUGGAGAGCUAGGGUUCUGGAGGGGAAAGCGGAAUUCCUGGUGUAGCGGUGAAAUGCGUAGAUAUCAGGAGGAACACCGGUGGCGAAGGCGGCUUUCUGGACAGAUACCGACGCUGAGGCACGAAAGCUAGGGGAGCAAACAGG
rnacentral:rRNA from 1 species